AGGGUUUGAUCAUGGCUCAGAACGUACGCUGGCGGCACGCCUAAUACAUGCAAGUCGAACGAAGUAGCAAUACUUAGUGGCAGACGGGUGAGUAACAUGUGGGUAUCUUCCCUUUGGUGAGGAAUAACACGAGGAAACUUGUGCUAAUACCUCAUAAGUCUUUACGGAGAAAGCUUUAUGCGCCGAUGGAUGAGCCCGCACUUGAUUAGUUUGUUGGUGAGGUAAUGGCUCACCAAGACUUUGAUCAAUAGCUGAUUUGAGAGGAUGAUCAGCCACAUUGGGACUGAGACACGGCCCAAACUCCUACGGGAGGCAGCAGUAGGGAAUCUUGCACAAUGGGGGAAACCCUGAUGCAGCGAUGCCGCGUGAGUGAAGAAGGCCUUUGGGUUGUAAAGCUCUUUCGUCGGGGAAGAAAAUGACUGUACCCGAAUAAGAAGGUCCGGCUAACUUCGUGCCAGCAGCCGCGGUAAUACGAAGGGACCUAGCGUAGUUCGGAAUUACUGGGCUUAAAGAGUUCGUAGGUUGUUAAAAAAGUUGGUGGUGAAAUCCCAGAGCUUAACUCUGGAACUGCCAUCAAAACUUUUUAGCUAGAGUUUGAUAGAGGAAAGCAGAAUUUCUAGUGUAGAGGUGAAAUUCGUAGAUAUUAGAAAGAAUACCAAUUGCGAAGGCAGCUUUCUGGAUCAUUACUGACACUGAGGAACGAAAGCAUGGGUAGCGAAGAGGAUUAGAUACCCUCGUAGUCCAUGCCGUAAACGAUGUGUGUUAGACGUUGGAAAUUUAUUUUCAGUGUCGCAGCGAAAGCAAUAAACACACCGCCUGGGGAGUACGACCGCAAGGUUAAAACUCAAAUGAAUUGACGGGGACCCGCACAAGUAGUGGAGCAUGUGGUUUAAUUCGAAGAUACGCGCAGAACCUUACCAACACUUGACAUGUUCGUCGCGACUUUAAGAGAUUAAAGUUUUCGGUUCGGCCGGACGAAACACAGGUGCUGCAUGGCUGUCGUCAGCUCGUGUCGUGAGAUGUUGGGUUAAGUCCCGCAACGAGCGCAACCCUCACUUUUAGUUGCCAUCAUUUAGUUGGGCACUCUGAAAGAACUGCCAGUGAUAAGCUGGAGGAAGGUGGGGAUGACGUCAAGUCCUCAUGGCCCUUACGUGUUGGGCUACACACGUGCUACAAUGGCAUUUACAACAGGAAGCAAAACGGCGACGUUAAGCAAAUCCUAAAAAAAUGCCUCAGUUCGGAUUGUACUCUGCAACUCGAGUACAUGAAGCUGGAAUUACUAGUAAUCGCGGAUCAGCGCGCCGCGGUGAAUACGUUCCCGGGUCUUGUACACACCGCCCGUCACACCAUGGGAGUUGGUUCUACCUUAAGGCAAAGGUUAAAAACUUUGACCACGGUAUAGUCAGCGACUGGGGUGAAGUCAUAACAAGGUAACCGUA
rnacentral:rRNA from 1 species